CUGCGCAACGGCAGGGCACCCGGCGGUUCAGGUCGCUUAGAAAGUCAGCAAUGUGUAUGGGCUGGCAGGAGGCGCCGGCGGGCGCGGGGAGCUGCUGGCCGCCACCCUUAAAGGGAAGGUGCUGGGCUUCCGCUACCAAGACCUCCGACAGAAAAUCCGGCCAGUGGCCAAGGAGCUGCAGUUCAACUACAUUCCCGUGGAUGCGGAGAUUGUCUCCAUCGACACUUUCAACAAGUCACCCCCCAAGCGGGGUCUGGUUGUGGGGAUCACGUUCAUCAAGGAUUCAGGGGACAAGGGCAGCCCCUUCCUGAACAUUUACUGCGACUACGAGCCCGGCUCUGAGUACAACCUUGACUCCAUUGCCCGUGAGUGAGGCGUGGACGGGAGGAGGGAGAGGGUCCCCAGCAGGUCCCCCAUGCUAACCUGCCUAUGCCCUGCCUACAGAGAGCUGCCUGAACCUGGAGCUCCAGUUCACUCCCUUCCAGCUGUGCCAUGCAGAGGUCCAGGUCGGGGAUCAACUUGAGACCGUGUUUCUCUUGAGUGGAAACGACCCGGCCAUUCAUCUCUACAAGGAGAACGAGGGGCUGCAUCAGUUUGAGGAACAGCCCGUGGAAAACCUCUUCCCAGAGCUGACGAACCUGACCAGUAGGUAGGAGAGGCCCCGAAAGAGGCCACUGGGGACCGGGGCACUGACCUCAGAGAAAUCGGGCGGUGAGA
rnacentral:sRNA from 1 species